GGGUUGUGAGGUUAAGCGACUAAGCGUACACGGUGGAUGCCCUGGCAGUCAGAGGCGAUGAAGGACGUGCUAAUCUGCGAUAAGCGCCGGUAAGGUGAUAUGAACCGUUAUAACCGGCGAUUUCCGAAUGGGGAAACCCAGUGUGAUUCGUCACACUAUCAUUAACUGAAUCCAUAGGUUAAUGAGGCGAACCGGGGGAACUGAAACAUCUAAGUACCCCGAGGAAAAGAAAUCAACCGAGAUUCCCCCAGUAGCGGCGAGCGAACGGGGAGGAGCCCAGAGCCUGAAUCAGCAUGUGUGUUAGUGGAAGCGUCUGGAAAGGCGCGCGAUACAGGGUGACAGCCCCGUACACAAAAGCGCAUGUGCUGUGAGCUCGAUGAGUAGGGCGGGACACGUGGUAUCCUGUCUGAAUAUGGGGGGACCAUCCUCCAAGGCUAAAUACUCCUGACUGACCGAUAGUGAACCAGUACCGUGAGGGAAAGGCGAAAAGAACCCCGGCGAGGGGAGUGAAAAAGAACCUGAAACCGUGUACGUACAAGCAGUGGGAGCCCCACCACUAAGCCAGUGGUGAACUCCACAUACGCAUCCUUUGCUGAGGAUACGGUUAACGGAGCGCAAGCGACGUUCAACCGCAAAAGAAGCAGAGGGGGCUUAGUGGUGGGGUGACUGCGUACCUUUUGUAUAAUGGGUCAGCGACUUAUAUUCUGUAGCAAGGUUAACCGUAUAGGGGAGCCGGAGGGAAACCGAGUCUUAAUUGGGCGUUAAGUUGCAGGGUAUAGACCCGAAACCCGGUGAUCUAGCCAUGGGCAGGUUGAAGGUUGGGUAACACUAACUGGAGGACCGAACCGACUAAUGUUGAAAAAUUAGCGGAUGACCUGUGGCUGGGGGUGAAAGGCCAAUCAAACCGG
rnacentral:rRNA from 1 species